rnacentral:rRNA from 1 species
GACGAACGCUGGCGGCGUGCUUAACACAUGCAAGUCGAACGGAAAGGCCCUGCUUGCAGGGUGCUCGAGUGGCGAACGGGUGAGUAACACGUGGGUGAUCUGCCCCUUACUUUGGGAUAAGCCUGGGAAACUGGGUCUAAUACUGGAUAGGACCAUGCUUUAGGUGGUGUGGUGGAAAGAUUAGUUUCGGUAAGGGAUGAGCUCGCGGCCUAUCAGCUUGUUGGUGGGGUAAUGGCCUACCAAGGCGUCGACGGGUAGCCGGCCUGAGAGGGUGGACGGCCACAUUGGGACUGAGAUACGGCCCAGACUCCUACGGGAGGCAGCAGUGGGGAAUAUUGCACAAUGGGCGCAAGCCUGAUGCAGCGACGCCGCGUGGGGGAUGACGGCCUUCGGGUUGUAAACUCCUUUCAGCCAUGACGAAGCCCUUGUGGUGACGGUAGUGGUAGAAGAAGCACCGGCUAACUACGG